rnacentral:SRP_RNA from 20 species
AGCCUGGGCCCGUGCGGCUCGGACGCCCGAACCGUGUCAGGACCUGACGGUAGCAGCACUAAGGGAUGCUCUGGGCAGGCGCGUGGUUCCGGGUUUUUU